rnacentral:rRNA from 2 species
GACCUCAGAUCAGGCAAGGCUACCCGCUGAAUUU